GAGUUUGAUCCUGGCUCAAGAUGAACGCUGGCGGCGUGCUUAACACAUGCAAGUCGAACGGGGAUGCCAUUUUCGAGGCGGUUAGUUUACUAAGCGCCAAGAUGCCGGCAUCUUAGUGGCGGACGGGUGAGUAACGCGUGGGUAACCUGCCUUAUACAGGGGGAUAACACUUAGAAAUAGGUGCUAAUACCGCAUAAGCGCACGGGGCUGCAUGGCCCAGUGUGAAAAACUCCGGUGGUAUAAGAUGGACCCGCGUCUGAUUAGCUUGUUGGCGGGGUAACGGCCCACCAAGGCGACGAUCAGUAGCCGGCCUGAGAGGGUGGACGGCCACAUUGGGACUGAGACACGGCCCAAACUCCUACGGGAGGCAGCAGUGGGGAAUAUUGGACAAUGGGGGGAACCCUGAUCCAGCGACGCCGCGUGAGUGAAGAAGUAUUUCGGUAUGUAAAGCUCUAUCAGCAGGGAAGAAAGAAAUGACGGUACCUGACUAAGAAGCCCCGGCUAACUACGUGCCAGCAGCCGCGGUAAUACGUANGGGGCAAGCGUUAUCCGGAAUUACUGGGUGUAAAGGGAGCGUAGACGGUGAUGUAAGUCUGGAGUGAAAAGGCGGGGGCCCAACCCCCGGACUGCUCUGGAAACUAUGUGACUGGAGUGC
rnacentral:rRNA from 1 species